AUUGAACGCUGGCGGCAGGCUUAACACAUGCAAGUCGAGCGGAGAUGAGGUGCUUGCACCUUAUCUUAGCGGCGGACGGGCGAGUAAUGCUUAGGAAUCUGCCUAUUAGUGGGGGACAACAUUCCGAAAGGAAUGCUAAUACCGCAUACGUCCUACGGGAGAAAGCAGGGGAUCUUCGGCCCUUGCGCUAAUAGAUGAGCCUAAGUCGGAUUAGCUAGUUGGUGGGGUAAAGGCCUACCAAGGCGACGAUCUGUGGCGGGUCUGAGAGGAUGAUCCGCCACACUGGGACUGGGACACGGCCCAGACUCCUACGGGAGGCAGCAGUGGGGAAUAUUGGACAAUGGGGGGAACCCUGAUCCAGCCAUGCCGCGUGUGUGAAGAAGGCCUUAUGGUUGUAAAGCACUUUAAGCGAGGAGGAGGCUACUGAGACUAAUACUCUUGGAUAGUGGACGUUACUCGCAGAAUAAGCACCGGCUAACUCUGUGCCAGCCGCCGCCGUAA
rnacentral:rRNA from 1 species